UAGGGAAUCUUCGGCAAUGGACGAAAGUCUGACCGAGCAACGCCGCGUGAGUGAAGAAGGUUUUCGGAUCGUAAAACUCUGUUGUUAGAGAAGAACAAGGACGUUAGUAACUGAACGUCCCCUGACGGUAUCUAACCAGAAAGCCACGGCUAACUACGUGCCAGCAGCCGCGGUAAUACGUAGGUGGCAAGCGUUGUCCGGAUUUAUUGGGCGUAAAGCGAGCGCAGGCGGUUUCUUAAGUCUGAUGUGAAAGCCCCCGGCUCAACCGGGGAGGGUCAUUGGAAACUGGGAGGCUUGAGUGAAGAAGAGGAGAGUGGAAUUCCAUGUGUAGCGGUGAAAUGCGUAGAUAUAUGGAGAAACACCAGUGGGUAAGGCGGCUCUCUGGUCUGUAACUGACGCUGAGGCUCGAAAGCGUGGGGAGCAAACAGG
rnacentral:rRNA from 1 species